rnacentral:rRNA from 1 species
GACGAACGCUGGCGGCGUGCUUAACACAUGCAAGUCGAACGGAAAGGCCCUGCUUUUGUGGGGUGCUCGAGUGGCGAACGGGUGAGUAACACGUGAGUAACCUGCCCUUGACUUUGGGAUAACUUCAGGAAACUGGGGCUAAUACCGGAUAGGAGCUCCGGCUGCAUGGUGGGGGUUGGAAAGUUUCGGCGGUGUGGGAUGGACUCGCGGCUUAUCAGCUUGUUGGUGGGGUAGUGGCUUACCCAGGCUUUGACGGGUAGCCGGCCUGAGAGGGGGACCGGCCACAUGGGGACUAAGAGACGGCCCAGACGCCUACGGUAGGCAGAAGUGGGGAAUAUUGCACAAUGGGCGGAAGCCUGAUGCAGCAACGCCGCGUGCGUGAUGACGGCCUUCGGGUUGUAAACCGCUUUCGCCUGUGACGAAGCGUGAUUGACGGUAAUGGGUAAAGAAGCACCGGCUAACUACGUG